rnacentral:rRNA from 1 species
AGUGAACGCUGGCGGUAGGCCUAACACAUGCAAGUCGAACGGCAGCACAGUAAGAGCUUGCUCUUACGGGUGGCGAGUGGCGGACGGGUGAGGAAUACAUCGGAAUCUACUUUUUCGUGGGGGAUAACAUAGGGAAACUUACGCUAAUACCGCAUACGACCUAUGGGUGAAAGCAGGGGAUCUUCGGACCUUGCGCGAUUGAAUGAGCCGAUGUCGGAUUAGCUAGUUGGCGGGGUAAAGGCCCACCAAGGCGACGAUCCGUAGCUGGUCUGAGAGGAUGAUCAGCCACACUGGAACUGAGACACGGUCCAGACUCCUACGGGAGGCAGCAGUGGGGAAUAUUGGACAAUGGGCGCAAGCCUGAUCCAGCCAUACCGCGUGGGUGAAGAAGGCCUUCGGGUUGUAAAGCCCUUUUGUUGGGAAAGAAAAGCAGCAGGUUAAUACCCCGCUGUUCUGACGGUACCCAAAGAAUAAGCACCGGCUAACUUCGUG